GAUGAAGAACGUAGCGAAAUGCGAUAAGUAAUGUGAAUUGCAGAAUUCAGUGAAUCAUCGAAUCUUUGAACGCACAUUGCGCCCGUCAGUAUUCUGGCGGGCAUGCCUGUUCGAGCGUCAUUACGCGCCUCAAGUCCCCUGUGGACUUGGUGUUGGGGAUCGGCGAGGCUGGUUUUCCAGCACAGCCGUCCCUUAAAUUAAUUGGCGGUCUCGCCGUGGCCCUCCUCUGCGCAGUAGUAAAACACUCGCAACAGGAGCCCGGCGCGGUCCACUGCCGUAAAACCCCCCAACUUUUUAUAGUUGACCUCGAAUCAGGUAGGACUACCCGCUGAACUUAAGCAUAUCAAUAAGCGGAGGA
rnacentral:misc_RNA from 1 species